rnacentral:rRNA from 1 species
GAUGAACGCUGGCGGCGUGCCUAAUACAUGCAAGUCGAGCGAACAGACGAGGAGCUUGCUCCUCUGACGUUAGCGGCGGACGGGUGAGUAACACGUGGAUAACCUACCUAUAAGACUGGGAUAACUUCGGGAAACCGGAGCUAAUACCGGAUAAUAUAUUGAACCGCAUGGUUCAAUAGUGAAAGACGGUUUUGCUGUCACUUAUAGAUGGAUCCGCGCCGCAUUAGCUAGUUGGUAAGGUAACGGCUUACCAAGGCAACGAUGCGUAGCCGACCUGAGAGGGUGAUCAGCCACACUGGAACUGAGACGCGGUCCAGACUCCUACGGGAGGCAGCAGUAGGGAAUCUUCCGCAAUGGGCGAAAGCCUGACGGAGCAACGCCGCGUGAGUGAUGAAGGUCUUCGGAUCGUAAAACUCUGUUAUUAGGGAAGAACAAAUGUGUAAGUAACUAUGCACGUCUUGACGGUACCUAAUCAGAAAGCCACGGCUAACUACGUG